CCUACGGGAGGCAGCAGUAGGGAAUAUUGCUCAAUGGGGGAAACCCUGAAGCAGCAACGCCGCGUGGAGGAUGAAGGUUUUCGGAUUGUAAACUCCUGUUGGUAGAGAAGAGAAGGACGGUAUCUAAGGAAUAAGCACCGGCUAACGCCGAGCCAGCAGCCGCGGUAAUACGGAGGGUGCAAGCGUUACUCGGAAUCACUGGGCGUCAAGAGCGCGUAGGCGGGAUAGCAAGUCAGAUGUGAAAUCCUCUGGCUUAACCCUAGAACUGCAUUUGAAACUGUUAUUCUAGAGUAUGGGAGAGGUAGGUGGAAUUCUUGGUGUAGCGGUCAAAUCCGUAGAGCUCACGAGGAAUACUCAUUGCGAAGGCGACCUGCUAGAACAUACCUGACGCUGAUGCGCGAACGCGUGGGUAGCAAACAGGAUUAGCUACCCUAGUAGUC
rnacentral:rRNA from 1 species